GAUUACAACAUAGUGUUAAUGCACCAGAUCCCAUUAUAACUCCGCAGUUAAGCACACUCAGACUAGAGUAGUACUGAGAUGGGUGACCGCUUGGGAAGUCCUAAUGUUUUAAAUU
rnacentral:rRNA from 1 species